rnacentral:rRNA from 1 species
UACGUAGGGUGCGAGCGUUAAUCGGAAUUACUGGGCGUAAAGCGUGCGCAGGCGGUUGUGCAAGACAGAUGUGAAAUCCCCGGGCUCAACCUGGGAACUGCAUUUGUGACUGCACGGCUGGAGUGCGGCAGAGGGGGAUGGAAUUCCGCGUGUAGCAGUGAAAUGCGUAGAUAUGCGGAGGAACACCGAUGGCGAAGGCAGCCUCCUGGGCCAGCACUGACGCUCAUGCACGAAAGCGUGGGGAGCAAACAGG